AGGAGAAGGCAAUGGCACCCCACUCCAGUACUCUUGCCUGGAAAAUCCCAUGGACGGAGGAGCCUGGUAGGCUGCAGUCCAUGGAGUCGCGACUGAGCGACUUCACUGUCACUUUUCACUUUCAUGUAUUGGAGAAGGAAAUGGCAACCCACUCCAGUGUUCUUGCCUGGAGAAUCCCAGGGAUGGCGGAGCCUGGUGGGCUGCCGUCUAUGGGGUCGCACAGAGUCAGACACGACUGAAGCGACUUAGCAGCAGCCGCAGCAGCCCUGCAGAGAAAGGAUGGCAGUGACUUUGUGGGUCUGCUCUCCAUCCCCCACUAAGCCUGCAUGAAAUGUCCCAGCUCCAAACGCAGCUUACACUUGACAGGGAGAACAACACUGGCAUCACGGGCCUCACCUCAGUCUUCGCCUCAACGACUCAUCAGUGUGUCCCUCAUCUGCACAACUCUGGCCCCUUUUUAUUUGGCCUCUAAAACCCCCAGAGCUCACCAUGCUGAAUAGCCCAGAUGCGGCCCUGAGGCUUUGUGUCGGCAGCAGGGCUAAGACGUCCUCCUCUGAGGACUGCCCCAGGCUCCAGGCCCGCCAGCUGGGGUGGGCUUUCUUGAUGGGGUGGAGAGCCCCGUUCCCCUGUGAGUCGGGUGCUGAGAUCCCAACGUGGUCACCACCGGCUGUGCGCCUCCGCGGGCCUCUUACCCCCAGAACAGCCUGAGUGGCACCUGCAGCCCCGAGGACAUAAGGAAAGCCAGCACACAGGCUCAUCCCUCCAGACCCCCGCGGCCUUCCUUACUCCACAAGCACUGCUCAGGGUGGAAGGAGACAAAGAGGCGGGGUGUUGGCUUCCUCCUGAGUCUGGCCCCCCGGUGCUCACAGGAUUUAUGCCGGCAGCCAAGAGAGAAGAAAGGCUGAGUGCCCUCACGUCACCUGGAGCUGCCCCAAGAGCAUGGAGGCACGGAGGCCAGGGGGCUGAGACUGGCACAGGACCCUGUGAGGAUCACCUGUGAGACGGGACCCUGGCCCAAGAGGUGAUGACUGCAACUGUGAAUCAUCUCCAAGGAAGCAAGAGCUGGGGGAAGGCCACAGAUGGGCCUCUUCACGGGCUUCUUGGUUUGUCCUCACAUUUACUUUUGAAGUAAUGGCUACCGUGGAGGUGGACCAUGUCUCUCCCUUGGCCUGUGGGCUCCUGGCUCUCUCCCCUGUAUAGAGCAAGACCAGAGUACACUGCGAUUCAUCACAACCCUCACCCAUCUCUGUUCUCUGUUCACCUAAGAAAUUAUGGACCCUCUCUCCUCGGAGGUGUUGUAAAGUGGGGUGUGUAUAUG
ensembl:lncRNA